ensembl:lncRNA
UUCCCCUGCUUUUCUAAAAGAGAGGUCGAGCAAAUCUUUCAUCUUAAUAGAGUGAAACUUUAUUCCUUUUAGGAUGUGAUGGUGUGUGAAGAUACUAUGCCAAGCAAUGUGAUGUUAGAAGGGGAUGUUUCUACAGGUUCUGAGAUGAACUUAGUAUGCAGAAGGCAGUGUUCCCAAGAAAAGUCCUCAGAAGCAGAAAGGGAGUCUGGUCCUCAGAAGGAGGAGGAAAAAACUGUUGUAUCGUCAGCUCGGCUACUGAGGAGUCGAUUCCAGAGACCAAAGCCAAAUUUAAGAAUGACAACUAGUAGAAAGGAAGUGCUGGAUGUAAAUAAUAAAGGUGUAUCACAGGAAGAUACCAAAAAGGAAGAAAGUUUGACACAGUGUGACAGUGACUGUAACAUCCUUCCUGAUACAGAUAAGAUAGGAAAACAUGAAGUUCUGCAACCAUUGGAACCCUUAGGAAAGGAGAAGUCAUUUGACUCUCAGGAGGUCUCUGAGAGACCAAGUCGUAAGUCGCCAAAGACACUUUCAAGAUUAGAGGAUGGUGAACUCAAGUUUUGUCUACCUGAAAUGAACCAAGAUGACACCUCAACUACUAACGCAAGCAUUGAUAGCAAAAAUACCACUGAAGAAGGACGUAAAAAAAUACCUCCUCAACCUGUUCAGUUGGUGCGGAGUAGAUUCCAGAGGUACAAGCCAAACUUGGGAAGAGCUGUUGGAAAGAAGGAAUUACAAAUAUCAGAAAACGAGAGGGAGAAAAAGACUGAAGCAGAGCAGCAGGCAUUGCAAAAAGAUGAGUCUGCCAACACUGUCGUUGGUGAAAAUGAAGCCAUAUUGUGUCAGGCAGAUGUGUUGAGCAAAGAGGAACAGGAACAGCAAGAGGCACCUCAGGUGCCUUGUAUUUCUGAAAACAUCCUGUGUGAACAAAGCAGUGCUGAAAAAUCCACUUCCCAAGAAGGCAAACUGGGUGUUCUGAAACCAGAACAGUUCAUAAUGAAUGAAUCUCCAAGAACUAGACCAAGUCUAGAAAUAGCAGAUAGUGAAAAAGAAUCUCUGAUGGUACAAGAACUUGCUGCUCCUAUUGAUGAAGAAGUACAUAAAAAUGAAAACCUUCCUGUGGCAGAAGAAUCUGAGGAACCACUUUCCUCAAAAUCUAAGGAUGACAUGGAAGUAUUUUUUGUGGGGAAUUUGGCCAAGAAUGACAAUCUAGACAUAAAUCUAAAAAGUAUGAAGUCAGAAACACUUGAUUCCUCUAAAGAAUCACCUAACUGCUACAGCAAGGGAGGAACAGAGGAAGAUCUAUCUACAGAUGCUACAGGAAGCAUUCAGGAUACCAUAGAAAGGUCCACUGAUAAAUUAAAUUCUGGAGAAGAAAGUAAACAGAGUGAUACAAAACCUUUGCAUCGACCAAAGGAGCCCCUCUGGAAGCCAAGGCCAAACCUAAUGAGAGCUACUAGAAAAAGAAAUUAUAUUGAAGAGGCUGAAAACAGAGAGGAGGACAAGGCUGAGAAAAAACAUGCAGAAGUUUGUUUGGAGUUAGAAAAAACAGGUGUAUUGAUGGUAAGUGUUGAUCAUGGUUUGUGAACCAAUUUAUACCUCAAUUCUUGUGUUUAGAACCAUAGAUGGCACAGAAAUCCAGUAUAUGGCUCUGAAAGAUUAAU